rnacentral:lncRNA from 1 species
UAUGCUUUAAGGUAUUGAUUAUAUGUGCAAGCUGCUUGUAGGUUCAUGUUUGAAUGGGUGAAAAAAAUAGCUUGAUUUUGACCAUUUUCUUAUCCACACGGCCUAAGACACGGGCAUGUGUCUCAGUCGUGUGUGACACACAGCCAUGUGACAUGGUCGUGUGUCCUCUGUUGGUUUUAAAGGUUUCUUUUCGAAAGUUACAUGGCCUAGCACAUGGCCUGGCACACGGGCAUGUGGCUUGGCCCG